AGCGAACGCUGGCGGCAGGCUUAACACAUGCAAGUCGAGCGGGCCCUUCGGGGUCAGCGGCAGACGGGUGAGUAACACGUGGGAACGUACCCUUUGGUUCGGAAUAACGCUGGGAAACUAGCGCUAAUACCGGAUACGCCCUUUUGGGGAAAGGCUUGCUGCCGAAGGAUCGGCCCGCGUCUGAUUAGCUAGUUGGUGGGGUAAUGGCCUACCAAGGCGACGAUCAGUAGCUGGUCUGAGAGGAUGAUCAGCCACACUGGGACUGAGACACGGCCCAGACUCCUACGGGAGGCAGCAGUGGGGAAUAUUGGACAAUGGGCGCAAGCCUGAUCCAGCCAUGCCGCGUGAGUGAUGAAGGCCUUAGGGUUGUAAAGCUCCUUUGUCCGGGACGAUAAUGACGGUACCGGAAGAAUAAGCCCCGGCUAACUUCGUG
rnacentral:rRNA from 1 species